rnacentral:lncRNA from 1 species
UUGCAUAUUGUGCUAACCUCAGCUCACGGCUCUCAUGGCUGUGCUGCCUCACAAACUCACUGGUUACCUCCUGCCCAAGAGGGAGCCCUGGCCCUGAAAAAUGAAUCUAAGUGACAAAAACUAGGGUCUCUUCCUCUAAUCUCCUCAGUGCCCGGUAAUGACUUUCUAUACCGUCUCCAAAUGGGGUUGUUUUGUUAUUCCGACAGUCUUGGACGCUACUGGACGUGGCUAACUGUGGCUGAAUGUUGUGGAAAGAGACAAAUGCAUUCUGCCUGUUUUCUUACCAGUGGGCUCAGUGAAUUUCGCAUGAAACAACUUCUUGUGGUAUGUGAUUUCUAAAGGAAGGGGGAAUAGUUUCCCUCAAAAUAAUGGCUCUACUGCUUCCUCCUAAAACGUGCAUUUCACAAGACCAGAGAAAGUGUAGGUAAAAUAUCUAAGAUGGCUUUGGAAUCUUACAGAUUUGGAUGUAAAUACCACUUUAAUUAUUUCCUGAUCAUUGGAAGUUUUGAAAGAUGUGGAAAUUUAGAAAGUUCUUAGGGAUUUCUUAUCUGGUAUGAUACACUUUUGAUUUUUAUUUAUUUUGUUUGAUUUUAAAAUCACAGAUGAAAAGUAUAGCUGUUGUAAUAAGUCUUAACACUAGAAAUAUUCCCAAAGAAAAUAAACAGUUUUAACUCAAGCAACCCUUUUCACCUGGGCCUCCACUCCAAAUAGGCACGUGGAUGUAGCCAACAUUAUCUGUGUGGUGUCUGUCCUUCUCGUGCUUCUAAAUUUACAUACACAUAACAAAAAUCAUACAUAGCUAUUUUUUAUCAUCCUUGUUUUCUGAUAAAAUUGUAUCAUGUAUCAUGAUAUCAACAGGGACAAUUCACACACCUCUCCAACACAUUCCCUUCACUUAACUUUCACAUCCUUCUCAGGAACCAUUCUGAUUUAACAGUUCUAAAACAUCAUCAAAUCUAGAAGUUUUGCAAUUUAUUUGAAUACAGUUUCUUUAUGAAAAAAUCAGAUUUUCCCCUUUACGUUUUUUAACCAUGAAAAAUGAUCCUGAAAUAAACAUUCUUAGAGUGAUAUUCUUAAGUUCUGUUGCCUUAUUUCAGCAUGGUGAUUUUUUUUUUUUUUUUUUGCUUUUUAGGGCUGCACCUGCAGCAUAUGGGAAGUUCCCAGGCUAGGGGUUGAACUGGAGCUACAGCUGCUGGCCUACGCCACAGCCAUAGCAACACAGGAUCCAAGCUGUGUCUGCAACCUACACCACAGCUCACAGCAACGCCAGAUCCUUAACCCAGUGAGCAAGGCCAGGGAUUGAACCUGCAUCCUCAUGGAUGCUAGUCAGAUUUGUUUCCCCUGAGCCACAAUGGGAACUCCCAGUAUGGUAAAUUUUAGAAGUGCAAAUGCUGAGUUCAAAGAUUGUAAAGAAUUUAAUAUUUCUGUUUAUUGCCAGAUAACCUGCAAAAAAAUUGGUCGUGAUCUAUAUAUCCAUCACCAGUGUAUGAGAGAAUCCAUUUUUCCACAUACUCGCUGACUUUGUUAUUAAUUUAAUUAAAUUAAUUAAUUAAUUUUUUUGGCCAUGCCACUGCAGUGGCAAUGCCAGAGGGAACACUGAGCCAUGAGGGAACUCCUUAAUCUUUUUAAUUUUUGCCAACUUGAUGAUUAAAAAUAGUAUCUUGUUUGAAUUUGCAUUUCCAAAAAUCUAAAGUGUAUGAUGGGAUUUUUCACAGAAAGUUCACAUAGAGGUGCUCUGUAAAUAAGAGUGAUGGCAAGAAAUCUUGUUUAGAAUACAAUUCUCCAGAGAGAGAAAACAUACUUGCUCGAAUUCCUUUUUUGAAUUCUAGAUGAGAACUGGGCACGUGAAAGGCAGAUUAUAUAGGGUGUAGAAGCCCAGUAGAGAGAUGUUGUCGGGACAAGCUUGGGGAAUUUUAUUUUCCCCCACAAUAUUUCAGUCCUGCUGGCAACAUUAGACAAACUCACACUCUGGACCACAUUUGGCCUUGUCCUCAGAUAGCACUGGCCUUACCCUCUGAUGGCAGGUUAGUCAGCCUGUUCAAACAUAUUUUCAACAAGUAAUAUGACAGCAGUGGCCCAGGGUUGUUUGUGAACUUUGUGUCACAAAUCCAAAUGCAGUAAUUUAAAAAAAUAAAAUUACUUCAUGUAUUUCAUAUGCUUUCCCUGCUGAUUUACUAAUGCUUCAUAUGCAAGAGAAAUCAAAACAAUGAGUUCAUGUCCCAAAAAUAAAAGCACUGCCUUCUUCACAGACGGCAGGCUUAUGCUAAUUAAGACUCAGCACACACUUUAUCUUAAGCACAUAUGGAUUUGAGUCAAUAAGGAAAGAUGAUUUGCAGAAUUGCAGUUCAGAGGUUAGAUGAACUCUUUCAAACUGUAAUGAGAAAUGCACACACCCUCAUUUGAUAUAUGUUAGCAAUGAAAUAUUGUCAAGUUCCGGAUUUGCAUGGCAAAUGGCAAUAACAACAGAACGAUGACUUGAGCUCUUAUUUGGGCCAAGUACAUUUUUAAUUCUAUUUUAAAAUUAUGUCAUAUAAUCCUCGUUACAACAUCACAAAUUAGAGGCAAUUGUUUACCUCCUUCCUCCCAUUUUACAAAGUAAGAGAAGGUUAGAUCUCUUACCCAAGGUUAACAGGAGUGGAAGGUAGAGGAGGCCUGGUUUGAAUACAGAAAGUCUGAGUUUGAGACCAAGCACUUCAUUUUUUUAUUAAUUAAAGUUCAGUUUAAGAUGUUUUGCCAAUUUCUGCUGUACAGCAAAGUGACUCAGUCAUACAUACAUAUGGAUUCUUUUAUAUAUAUAUAUAUUAUUUUCCAUCAUGAGACCAAGUACAUCUUUGUUAACUGGUCCAAGUUACCAACUAAUGAGCAGUAGUGAUAUGACCACCACCACACACAGCCCCCUCCCCCCAAAUACAGUAAAGGUUAAGUAAAUUGCCAAUAACCAAGAUUAGUGCUUAAAAUGGCAAUAUUGGGACAUCAGUCUCAUUCAAGAAAUCCAUAAAUUAAUUCUAUAGCCUAGUUUCAAAGAACAGGAUUAAAAUCUAAAGUCACAUCUUGUCAUGAAACCUCCUGAUUGUAUCCAUUUAGUGUCUAGUUAGGAAUGAAACUGCAUAAGUUAUUUUAACAGAGAUAAUAUAAGGAUUGAUUAACAGAUUGUUAAUAGAACUCAAAAUGCUUAGAGGGAACAUAGAGGUAUCCCAGAAAAAGUUACUUCAAGAAGCAGCUGUGGAGGGUAGGACCUUGGAGGAGGAACACUGAAGAACUGGGAUACAGACCCCGGGAGUGGGGUGCCAGCUGACAAGGGCUGGUAUUUCUAAGGCGUAUUGAGGCUAGUUUUGGCAUAUGAAGAAACCGCAGAUAGAUACCCACUGCUUCCACCUGCUGCGAGGGGGAAGAAAGAAUAGCUGCUAUAGUGAGAUUGAUAGGAAUAGGGAGAAAGGAGGAAGAUACAAUUGUUUUUUCCCUCCUCCACCCUUCCUGUCACCCUCAAAAGCCCCUAUUGAGAGAAACUAAUGGGGACCUGUGUGAAAAAAUGAAAAUGAGGUUUGCAGAGUUUCAGCUCUAGCACUGCAAAGCUGAGUUGAAGCUGAGAGAUAAAUGCUUAAAAUCCAGCACAAUCUUCCCUUUCAACUACUUGAUAACAUUUCACAUCCUGUUAUACAUAUUUCAACUACCAUACAAUGAUAAUUUUAUGCUUCCACUUAACAAGAUGCAACCUCUUUCUUAAAAAAAAAGGAAAGAAAAAAAAAGUUCUAAGCCUCUCCUUAAAGUGAGGAGAAAAAGAAAUUCAUUAGCAGAAAAUAUUUUAAAGUUAACUAAUUAAUUAAUUAGGAGUUCCCUUUGUGGCUCAGCAGAAAUGAACCUGAGUAGUAUCCAUGAUGAUGUGGGAUUGAUACUCAUGGAUAAUACAUGGAUUUGUGGGUCUGGCCUUGCUCAAUGGGUUAAGGAUCCAGCUUUGUCAUGAGCUGUCAUGUAGGUCACAGACAUGGCUCAGAUCUGGCAUUGCUAUGGAUGUGGCUUAGGUCAGCAGCAGCUCUGAUUCAGCCCCUAGCUCAGGAACUUCCAUAUGCUGCAAUUACAACCCUAAAAAUAAAUAAAUAAAUAAAAAUAAUGAAUUAAUGUUUUAUAUAUAAACUGUUUGUUUCUCAUACUUUUGGAAUCUGGAAAGCCCAAAAUCAAGGUGUUGGUAGAUCCAGUAUCUUAUGAGGGUCAACUUUCUUGCUUGUAGCUGGCCAUGUAUAUCUUCACAUGAAGGAGAGCAGAGAGAAGUAGCAGGCACUUGUAUCUCUUCUUAUAAGGGCACUGAUUUCAUUCAUGGGCACUCCACCCUUGCAAACUUUUUUGCCUUCUAAAGUCCCUGUCUUGUAAUAUCAUUACAUUAGGUGUUAAUAUUUCAAUGUAUGAAUCUGUUGAUAAGGCAAGCUCCUGUUGUUGUUUCUUGAUUGAUUGUCUAAGAGCAGAAAAAUUUCUCAUGAUUGAUAAGCAAAGAUUAGAGCUGUUUGUUAAAGUAAUUAUCCUGAAACUAUCCACAGGGAAAAAUAUUUCCUUUUAGAUAACUGACUGUGACUUCCCCAGCCUACAGAACAACCCCAACUGUAAACCACCCAUGGGCAACCUGUUUAACACACCUGAUAAAAGUCUAAGGGAAAAUCAUGAGGCUGAGCCACUCUGAUCUUUGAAACUGAGAUACUCUGUUGUAAUAACCUGAGAAAACCACUAUUGUUACUUCUCUGGCUUGUGUCUUUGGCAAUUAUAUAUGUACUGAUGUGCUUUCUUUUUUAAUAUAUGCUUCUUCUGAUAGUUCUUUGUCUCUUUCCUUUUAUAUACACUAGACUCUAAAAAUUGUGAGGGAAAGAUCCUUGUCCUUUUAUUUACUAAGGUGAUACCAACACUUCUCACAUGUCUGCCACCAGAGACACUUCAUAAACAUGACUGAAUACAUGAAUGAAUGUGAAAGCAUCUUGAAGUAAAUGGCCUCCAGGAAGAGGGGCUACAAGGGCAAGGCAGGUAGUUAGGACACCAUCCUGGAAGGCUGGACUUCAGAUGAAGACAUCCCUCCCAGCUUAUGAUCUAAAAUAGAGGUCAUUGGCUCAAGUCCAGACCAGGAAGACUAGGCUAU